AACGAACGCUGGCGGCGUGCCUGACACAUGCAAGUCGAACGAGAAAGGGGCUUCGGCUCCGAGUAAAGUGGCGCACGGGUGAGUAACACGUGGGUAACCUGCCUCUAAGAUUGGGAUAACUCGUCGAAAGAUGAGCUAAUACCGAAUAAGACCACAGUUCCCGCGGGAACAGGGGUCAAAGGUAGCCUCUGCUUGCAAGCUAUCACUUAGAGAUGGGCCUGCGCACCAUUAGCUAGUUGGUAGGGUAACGGCCUACCAAGGCAAAGAUGGUUAGCUGGUCUGAGAGGAUGAUCAGCCACACUGGAACUGAGACACGGUCCAGACUCCUACGGGAGGCAGCAGUGGGGAAUAUUGCGCAAUGGGCGAAAGCUUGACGCAGCAACGCCGCGUGAGUGAUGAAGGCCUUCGGGUCGUAAAGCUCUGUCGGGAGGAACGAAUGCUCCUGAGGUUAACAGCCUCGGGAGGUGACGGUACCUUCAAAGGAAGCACCGGCUAACUCUGUG
rnacentral:rRNA from 1 species